rnacentral:rRNA from 1 species
AGUGAACGCUGGCGGUAGGCCUAACACAUGCAAGUCGAACGGCAGCACAGUAAGAGCUUGCUCUUACGGGUGGCGAGUGGCGGACGGGUGAGGAAUACAUCGGAAUCUACUUUUUCGUGGGGGAUAACGUAGGGAAACUUACGCUAAUACCGCAUACGACCUACGGGUGAAAGCAGGGGAUCUUCGGACCUUGCGCGAUUGAAUGGGCCGAUGUCGGAUUAGCUAGUUGGCGGGGUAAAGGCCCACCAAGGCGACGAUCCGUAGCUGAUCUGAGAGGAUGAUCGGCCACACUGGAACUGAGACACGGUCCAGACUCCUACGGGAGGCAGCAGUAGGGAAUAUUGGGCAAUGGGCGCAAGCCUGAUCCAGCCAUGCCGCGUGGGUGAAGAAGGCCUUCGGGUUGUAAAGCCCUGUUGUUGGGAAAGAAAAGCAGCAGAUUAAUCCCCCGCUGUUCUGACGGUACCCAAAGAAUAAGCACCGGCUAACUUCGUG